AUGUAGAAAUAAGACACUUGGGGUUCUCUAACUGAUCAAAAAGUUAACGCGGCUGAAAGUUGACACGCUGCUUGCUAUGAAGUUGUAAAACUCUUUGAUCAAGACUGUGCCAGUGGACUCGGUUCUAACACUUCCAACAAAUUUCACCAAGUUAGAUAACUCUCAUUCUACUGGUGUAACGAGUGAACCAAAGGCUUAGUUACCUUUUAUUUAUUCCAACACAUUCUCCUCUCGUUUUGUUCUCUACACUACCUCUACUCAAAAAUGUUUUUUUUAUAUUUUGUGGUUCUGUUUAUUCCUUAAUCUCUCUUUAUCUGCCAAGGAACUGAAAGUAAAAUCUUACUGUUUUGACUUUUUGAAAUGGUUGUCCCCUCAAGGUUUUUUUUUAUUGUCUGAAUAUUUCAUUGAACCCAACCAUGUUCAUGAACAGAACAUAGUUGACAUAAUGCAACAUCAUAUCUUGAACAAACUGAGCUACACUCAAAACUCUUUCCCAUUCAACUUCAAGUCUUGUAUUCCAGAGGACUCAAACAGAUAGCCUGACUACAAAAACAGUCAAAACACAGAUACAAACAAGCCAUGUUUCAAUUUAGUUUCAUUGAGAAUGAACAAAACUUUCUUUUCACCAACACCCAGCUAUGAAAUUGAGGAGAAAAACAAACAAAAUGUAAAUAAUUGGCCUAACAUUGGUGAAUCCCUCAGAGUACUACAUAAUGACCAAUACAAGGCUCUGCUUUCAGUCACCACUUUGUUGAAAACUAUGUACACAAAUAAUCAUGAAACAGAAUGUAGCAGUUCUUAUUUUUACAACAUGCACAUCUACAGUCACACACAUACUUGCUGGUGUAAAUAGAGACAUCUCUAAUGGAAGCAGCUAUGCAAAUGACAAAAGUUGAAAUGAAAUGGAAAUUUGUUAAUUUAUCGAAUUCAUAUUUUUUCUUUCAGUCAAAACUCAAAAAAAAAUAAUAAAAA